AGAGUUUGAUCCUGGCUCAGAUUGAACGCUGGCGGCAGGCUUAACACAUGCAAGUCGAGCGGGGAUGAGGUGCUUGCACCUUAUCUUAGCGGCGGACGGGUGAGUAAUGCUUAGGAAUCUGCCAUUUAGUGGGGGACAACAUUCCGAAAGGAAUGCUAAUACCGCAUACGUCCUACGGGAGAAAGCAGGGGAUCUUCGGACCUUGCGCUAAAUGAUGAGCCUAAGUCGGAUUAGCUAGUUGGUGGGGUAAAGGCCUACCAAGGCGACGAUCUGUAGCGGGUCUGAGAGGAUGAUCCGCCACACUGGGACUGAGACACGGCCCAGACUCCUACGGGAGGCAGCAGUGGGGAAUAUUGGACAAUGGGCGGAAGCCUGAUCCAGCCAUGCCGCGUGUGUGAAGAAGGCCUUUUGGUUGUAAAGCACUUUAAGCGAGGAGGAGGCUACUAGUACUAAUACUACUGGAUAGUGGACGUACUCGCAGAA
rnacentral:rRNA from 2 species